rnacentral:rRNA from 1 species
UACGAAGGGGCUAGCGUUGCUCGGAAUCACUGGCGUAAGCGCACGUAGGCGGAUUGUUAAGUCAGGGUGAAUCCUGGAGCUCAACUCCAGAACUGCCUUGAUACUGGCGAUCUUGAGUCCGGAGAGGUGAGUGGAACUGCGAGUGUAGAGGUGAAUUCGUAGAUAUUCGCAAGAACACCAGUGGCGAAGGCGGCUCACUGGCCGGUACUGACGCUGAGUGCGAAGCGUGGAGCA